rnacentral:lncRNA from 1 species
ACUCCACAUACUUUGAUUCCUAUUCUUUACUCAUCAUACUUCAGCUUGCUGCCAUGUCUUAUCACUUCUUCCUUUCCUUUUCAUUGCUUUGCCACCAUUACUGUCAAUACCUAGUCUUCCUAAGAUAUUAAGGAAUUGAUCCCUGCCCUAAGAGCAGCAAAUUGCUGAACUCCUCUGGUGGACCUCUGCUGGACCUCAUGCUGGACCUCUGAUGGGACAGGUUCUUCCAUCAUCUAGUCAGAAUUG